rnacentral:rRNA from 1 species
AACGAACGCUGGCGGCAGGCUUAACACAUGCAAGUCGAACGCCCCUUACGGGGAGUGGCAGACGGGUGAGUAACGCGUGGGAAUCUACCCAUCUCUACGGAAUAACUCAGGGAAACUUGUGCUAAUACCGUAUACGCCCUUUGGGGGAAAGAUUUAUCGGAGAUGGAUGAGCCCGCGUUGGAUUAGCUAGUUGGUGGGGUAAAGGCCUACCAAGGCGACGAUCCAUAGCUGGUCUGAGAGGAUGAUCAGCCACAUUGGGACUGAGACACGGCCCAAACUCCUACGGGAGGCAGCAGUGGGGAAUCUUGGACAAUGGGCGCAAGCCUGAUCCAGCCAUGCCGCGUGAGUGAAGAAGGCCUUAGGGUUGUAAAACUCUUUCGCCGGGGAAGAUAAUGACGGUACCCGGAGAAGAAGCUCCGGCUAACUUCGUGCCAGCCGCCGCGGUAAAAC